GGCGCUUCUUGAGGCGGAGGGCCUCGUCGUCCACUACCGCGAUCAGCGGGAUGCAGCGCGGAGGGAGUGCGACGUGCUACGCGCGCAGCGCGAUGCAGCGCGCACGGCGCAGGCGGGGGCGGAGGAGGCCCUACACCACAACCGCGAGCUCGCCGACGCUUGGGAGGAGGGUAAGUAUAGUACUCUGCUUUCCCCUAUUUUCGUAUGUACCCAGAGGGUUUUCUCGUCACUUGCGUUUUUCGUUUCCCCAGUGCUCGGGUACCAGCUGGCGGAGCUCCAGUCCACGGCGAUGACGGCCACCGAGGCCGUAUACACGCGGGGGCACUCGGUCGUGGAGCGCCUCCUGGAUGUUCCGUGCCGCGCACGCCAGAUUGCGCGCCACGGCAUGAGGCACGGCGCCGCCGCUGCGCUAGCGGUGAUGGAGGGGAGAUCCGGCGAGGACCUCUCUGAGGUGGAGCCGGUCGAGCCGGCGAAUGACCUCGAUCAGGACGCGUUCGACGAGCGCGUUCAGGACCUCAACCGGGACCACGCCGGCCCAGCGCGCCUCUUCGUCCCCCUCGUCCGCAUCGAGGACGUCGUCUCCGCCCCUGCCUUCUUCCCGAACGAGUAGGUGGCGGCGGCGGUGUGCGAACCCGGCGACGGGCGGGAUCCUCGAGGUCGGGGGAGCGGUGGAGCCCCUAUUGGCACCUGGUGCCGAUAGUUUCUCCACAGCUUCCCUGUCCUGGAUCUUCGCCUUCUUAGGGUCGCGGCGUUUCCCCCGUUCGUGGGGUGGCCUUCUUUUAUUUUAAAAUGUCGUUCUUUCCUUUUUGUAAUAGGAAGCUUUUUCCUUCACUGCUUGUGUAAUUGGAGUUUGUUGUUAUUCGAUCUUACUUAAUUCGCAGUGAAUGUCUUGCUUUCCAUUGCUGAUCGUUCGAGCUUUGCACUCUUUUCUUUUCGUUCGAACUUCACCUUUUAUCCCGUUCGAUUAGGAUCGCGAAGCUUGAGUUCACGCUUACCUCGGCGGUACCGAAGCAUUACACUCGGUGGAGUUUAAUUUAACAGGCGUCCUUUCGGACGUUCCAGGUGGUGACCGGGUUUCUCGCCGAGAGAUUCCCACUGGGGCUUAGCUGGAAGCCGUCACGCAAACCCUCGGCAACCGAUCCAUAUAGUUCCCGGGUCCGACCAAAGGACCCGAGGGCUUCGUAGCCUUCCCUCGAUGGGAUUACCAUGGUUCAAUGAUUUGCCGAGGCCUGGACAUGGUUUUGGAUGCUCGCCAAGCUUUUUGCUCGCGCAAGUUUCGGCCGGUACGUGCCCAUCCUUCACCAUCCCUCACUCCUAUUUCGAGGGACGGUUGUCGAACCUGUUGCCAGGCCAGCCCUCGAUCCCCUUUACUAUUUCUGCAUGCACAUCUCCCAGGCGCUUUCUCCUUUCUGCCCUCCUCCAAUCGAUUGAUCCAUCCCCUUCCCCCGAUCCACACGCGUUUCUCUUCUUCAGCAACAUCGAUCUCAUCCGGCUCCUGCCUAUACCCGCGGGGAUCAUGAGCAUCUCUACCUCCGGAGCUUUCUCUCCCCCUCGACCCCCCUCCAGAUCUGCCCCAACUCUCUCCCCUUCGAUUCCUGAAGAUCUGCACUGACGCCGACCAUUUGCUGCCGCUGGAAACUUCCUUCUCCCCGGCUGCCACCACAUCGGUCGCCUUAGCCCACCAUCCUGUUAACGCUUGGACUGCUUCCAUGAUGCAUUGGACUUCAGGAUCUCCGCUGCUACAGAUGGUCCAGCACUCUGACUCUCAAAACACAAUUGGAGGGUAGCUUCAAGCAUUGAUAUCAUUUCUUCACCCCCCCCCCCCCCCCCCGGGAAAACUGAAGGCAAAUCAACGGCAUAGACGGCCAUGCGUGUUUGCUCAGUUCAUGCCAAUGCUUAUAGGUGAUGUUAAUUCAUUUCUUGAUGAAGUUUCCAUAGCAUUCCGCACUAAUGCACUCUUGGCAGUCUGCACAGCACUAUUUAUCAGAUCAUCCUGCUGGUAUGCUCACAGCUCUCUGCACAUUCAGUGAAAUAUUUUUAAUUGUAGUCAAUGUUUGUGCUGAUGGUGUUUAACGUACUACUUGAUGAAGCUUCUGUACACACAAUGACAACGUUGCUAUUAUGAGGUACUACAAUGGUUCAAAUUUUGUGGAGGAAUGAUGGUUAAUUUCCUUUUGCUUAUUUACUCUUUAUGCGCUCUUCUAUUUAACCACUCUGUACCAAAUGAGCAACAGGGUCCUGUUGGUCAGAUAUCAUGUGUAGUGAGUGUUUGUAGCUUGUAGAGUCAUAGAGUGCCAACCUGUUUUUUUUUCUUCUUCUUCUUUUUCUAUAACCUUCAUAUAUGAGCUGUUACAUAUUGUGAUAUCCACAAUUUGCUUGCAAUGUCAGGCUACUUAGUAUUCAUAUUAUAUACAACAUUGUAUAUAUAAAUGAUAUGUUUUUAGGGGAUUUAGUUGCAUUGCUACUAAAUCUAUCUUAGGGUACCUUUGAAUUUUCCACGUUCUAUUGUGUUACUCACUUGCUUCCUAUAGGAGGAAAGAUUAGGGAUUUCUAUGUUGCCUGCAACCAGUUUGUGAAUAGGAAAACGGCCAUGGCUUCAUCUAUUGGACUAUUGAUAUAUAUGCUUUGCAACAAGUCAAUUUUGGAACUGAUGGUCAGAUGCUUACUCCUCCGUACAGCGAAGAACUAUUAACAUGAAUGAGCAUGUAGUUUGGGACCUAUUUAGAUUCGUACUGGAUAUUGUAUAUGCUGUUCAAAUUAGCUGUAGAGAACUCCCUCAGUGAAAGAAACUGACUCAAUGACUUCUUUA